rnacentral:tRNA from 1 species
GCCUGAGUGGCUCAGUCGGUUAAGCAUCCGACUUCAGCUCGGGUCAUGAUUUCACAGUUUGUGGAUUUAAGUCCCACGUCAGGCU